ensembl:lincRNA
AUGGUGACCGCCAGGGUUCAAAGGACCAGGAAGGUGAGAGGUGGCUGGCGAGGCUGCUCUGCAGUCGUUCUGAGGAUUGCUCAAGCAAGCGCGGGACCCUUGGCCUACUUCCGACCGGCUGCUGAGCGUUGGGCGAGUGGUUCGUGGAGCGGUAGGCUGACUGGCCGGUCUGAUAAGCACUUUCUGCAGGCAGCCCAAGCAGGUGGAGUCAGGCCCUCCGAUUUGUGUCAUUUGAACGUCCUGCGUAAAGGAGAAGGAAGUGUGACUUCAGAAUUCACUGAUACAGGGACUGCAGCUGGGGCCUUGCGGACCUGGUAUUGUGAGAUAAGAGGACAGUCAAGACCGCCCCUCACCCUGCCCUGUGAACCUGCGAGUCUCCGCUGCCUCCCUCCUGUGACCAGGACAGGGGAGCGGGUCUUCCCAGGUGGCGUCCUUUCCCAGCCACCCUCCUGCCCCUCCGCCCUCUUCCCUUCCUCCUCCGCCCCUCCCCGCCCUGGGACACGCCUCCAGCCCCCGUGGUCACCCUUGUCCCCACUUCCUGCCUGGCUGGCACUUCGAUCCCACACCCCACAGACACAUACGGUCAUGUCAGAGUCCAGAUUCCUCAGGUGUCCGGUUCCAGUCUGACUCGGACCUGUGUGCCCACUUCUGGGCGCCCUCUGACACGCGCUCCACAAGGCUCUCUGCUCCUCACCGCCCCACCCCUGAGGCCUAGUCCGAGACUGCCUCUUCCCUGCCAUGUGCCCCGCUUGGAACCUCUGCCCGUCUACUGCUCACCUCUGCUUUUAUUUAUGUUACUUGUGCACCAGGCACACCUCUCCUUAAGAACAGGGACAAGAGCUCAUGCAUGUUUCUAUCUCCACUGAAUUUAGCCCAGGUAGGAAAUGUGUGUGUGUACAAUUUCAAUAAGUGAAUUAAUUUUUUUUUCUUUUUUGGUGAUUGUGGUGCUGGGAUUUGAAACUGGUGCCUUGAACAUGCUAUACAUAUGUACUCUUACCACUGAACUACACCCCCAGCCUUGAGUAUCAUUUUGAAGAACUUCUCUUGGCUCUUUUUCCCUCCUUUCAAUUGUUCACCCCCAAAUAAACAAGAGAAGCUAAUCUCUAUAAAACAGGGGAAGUAGAGAAAGGACUACUUUCUGAAAUGUAUACCAGGCUCUGAAUUUUCAUUUGAUACUGGGACUCAUUGUUGGCCUAUAAUGAAUUACAUUUUUAGUAUUUUAAAAUCUUUUUAUUAGAAAAUCAUGACGCUGCCAGGUGUGGUGGUGCACACCUGUAAUCCCAGCACUCGGGAGGCUGAGGCAGGAGGAUUGCUGUGAAUUCGAGACCAGCCUGGGCUACAUAGUGAGUUCCAGGUCAGUCUCAACUACGUAGUGACACCCUGUCUCAAAAAACCAAAACAAAACAAAAAGAAAGUCAUGAUGCUAUAUUAUGAAAAGGUCACAAGGGAACGCAAAUCCCUGUCACCCUAGGCCUCUCUGCCUGGUAGUGGAAAGGAACCCUGAGGUGCCACCCAGUGCUAUGGAGAGCAGGAGGCACAGGGAAAGUGCCAGGCUCCCAGUACACCUUGCCUUUUCUUUUUUCCUGAGGGUGCUGUAAGACCCACAAGAUCUUUGUCUGCAAAGCUUAUCAUGUUGCAUAGCUAAUGAGCCUUUCAUUGGUGCCACUGUACCAUGUCGUGACAGCUUCUAAACAUAUUCCCCAGCAACUUUUUACCCCAGAAAUAGCACAGUCAGAGGUCACCUUAACUCUGCUGUCACUGACCAAGCAAACCUGGCUGUGGAAGGGCUUGGCACCUAACCUUACUUACGAGCUAACGGAUUUUUUGCAAGUUUCGUGGCUACUAGCAGAAGACAUAGGACCCCUGGAUAAGAGACAGAGGCUUUUACUACUCGGGAGUAGAUGUCAGUAUAUCCCCAAACCCCAGUUCCCAAAGUGAGCUGUGACAAGGGCCUAGGGAGGUUCUGGGAACUUGAAGUGGGUUAUGUGACAGAAGAGGAAACUGGAGAUCUGGGAACCUAAGUGUUUUAUGCUAGGCAGUAAGUGACCUUUCCCUCUGCUGUAGUCAGACACUGCUCUGGGGCAGCAGGGGCUCUGGGUGCAAACGUGCCUCUGCUCUGGAGGGCUCUCUCUCUCUCCAUCGUAAAAGGCUGCUCACUGUGCAGACAUUUUUGAAAACAGAAUCCAGAGCAAAGGCAGACAGCACCUCUCUUCUGAAAGCCCCUUGGACAGGUGUCUCCCCAAAGCAGCAUUCCACUUUUAUAGGUACUUUGGGUUAAUCGACAAGGAUCAGAACCAACAAAUGGCAACAAGUUCAAAUAAAUAUUUGUUAAAUGCUUUAGUUGAGUCAGAAAAGAAAUUAAUAAACAAACCAAAAGAGAAGAGGUAACAGAUAAAACAAGGGCAAAAUUAUUCUGCCACAUAGAGGCAAGCAAGGCCAGAUUGCCCAGGGAAGAAAUGCUGACUGUCCUGGAGGGCUGAGAAGCCACUGGAGGGCUUAAAGCUGGAGAACAAGAUAAAAAUGGAAACGCCCUUCUCAAAGGGACGCCUUGUCCUCAUGUCCAUUCAUGCAAGUAAUGCAACGGUCACCCGAAGUUGGUUAAAAAUUUAGUUUGUGGGCUGGGGAUUUAGCUCAGUGGUUCUGCCACCUGCCUCACAAGUGUAAGGACCCAAGUUCAAUCACUGGUACCAAACCAAACCAAACCAAACAAAACAAAACUUAGUUUGCUUUUUUUCUUUUUUGAGGCAAAGUCUCAUUAUGUAUUCCAGGCUGGGCUUGAACUUACUACGUAGCCCGGGACAAUCCUCUUGCCUCAGACUCCUGAGUCCUGGGUUUAUAUGUGUGUCGCCAUGUCUGGCUAGAAACUUAGUUUUUUGAGUUAGUACUCAUGGAAAGAAAGAAAGCUGAGACUACCUAUGUCUGAAAGCAGAUGGUGCUGCCUACCUUGACCUAAUGGGCUUUCAGAAAUCAACUGUGGAAUAGAAAGAGUUAAUCUGACUUCAAAUUCUCAACUUCUGGAGCAGGGGACUCUUUGUAGCUUACCCUGCCUGUGUUACAGAGGGUGCUGGGCCCUAGGGAAUGGCACUUUGCUUAAUUACAGGGCAGCUGAUCUCGAAUGUGUGCGACAGUGUGGUUCCCAUCUCAACCUGUGCAGCUGCUCCCCUUGUAGGUAACCUCUCUCUCCGUCUGUGAGCCGGGAUGACAACAGGGUGCAUUUCAUGGGCUUGUGAUGAGGUCCCAGGGGCCAGGGAAGAAGAGCUCAGCACAGCGCCUGGCCCAAAGGAAAGAUUCAAGUCACACUGUCAAGAGACGGCUUGACCCCAGGAACAAGGCGGAGGACUGAGAGAUGGAAAUACAACACAGAGAUGCUGAAGCCCUCAGGGGAGGGCACUGUGGCUUCAGCUAGCGUUUUUAGCAGGUUUGUCAGGGUCGGGGUUUUGUCACAGAAAAUAGGAAAGAAAGAGGAGGCAAUAGGGAGACAGACUUGGAUGCAGACAGACCUCCUGUGAAGUCUGUCUCUGUGACUCACAGAGGUCCUGAUCCUCAGUUCCUCAUACAAUGUACCUCUUAGGAAGUGAGGUUACCAGAGAUAAUAUUGAGUGGCUGGCCCGUGUGUCCCAGAGGUCCCAACUCAUGAUAGAUUGGUCUGUGUCCACAGAACAGAUCAGGAGGAGUUUCUGAGGCAAAAGCUUUGGUUUGCAAGUGGGAAAACUCAAAAAGAGGAUACUUGACUGGACUGAGCUUUUUCUUCCAACUCCCAGGCAAUCCCUGGCCCACAUCCCAUGGGCCCUGUGACCUGCCUCAGGGGAGCUGGAACAGAGGCUCCCUGAGAUCCUCUUCUGUGUGCAGUCAGAAGCCCAAACCUACUGUGAGUUGUGUGAGAUUCCCAGCAGGCCCUGCAUCAAGUAGUUUGAUGACUGCUUUUGUGCUGGGCCCCAGCCAGGGAGCAGGAGGAGACAGUGUUUAUUUGCUUUUUCCUUUCAGUAUCUGGAUUUCACAAAAGUGCAUCCUUCUAUGGACUUUAGGGCCUUGAUGUUAGGAAAUCUUUGCUUGCCCUCUGUCCUGAAAGGUGCCUGGUGCAUUGUUCCUUGAUAUCCAGGAAAAUACAAUAAAUAAAUAAAUAAAAAAUAACCACUCAGAUCUUAUACUCUUUCCAGUGGGGGAAUAACCCCAAAGCCAAAACUGUAAUUAACCCAGAUUUACAGAAAUCAUGCAAAAAUUUAUUUGAAAGUUGUUAAGGACUUGAUCAAAAAGUUCCUACUCACCCUGAGCUUUUGUCUGAUGUCUAGGCCCUGGACAUACUCUGUUGUGGCUCUCAGGUCUUGAAAUAUUUAUCAAGCUGGCAAAGGGCUUCUAGAACUCUGUUAGACCCUCCCGCAGGAGGGAGCAUUCAAGUUUAGUUUCUAGGGCUCUCUCCUUCACUGUUUGAAUAUUUCAUUUUCUUGGACGAAAAAUUAAGCAUCUCGUGGUAGGUGAAGUACAUUUCACGUGUUUUUCUAUUAAAUUUGAUUGUAACAGGGGAAGGUGAACAAGACAAAACCACACAGUAACUGCAAAAGGAAACACUUUAGCCGUGUAGAGGAACCCAGUAUUUUUUCCGUG